GUUUGCUUAGCUGUUGUUUGGUCAACUAUUUCUCUCAUUCGACGUAUCAUAAAUAUCGAAGUUGACAGUUUUUUGCAAAGUGUGUCGAUGUGAGUGGCCCAGCCGAGAGAAGACUGGAACUGCAAUCCCAGGAAAACAUGACCGGAAAAUAUCCAACAAACGGUCGUGAAAUUCUGUGAACUGAACAAUCGGACUAUCUGAAUAUGUUUUCGUCCAGUCCUCGACUCCUAUGCAUUCUAGAAAAUGGCUCAAGGUUGCAAACUGAAAAUCUCACGAUUUGGGCCAUAUGGUCUGAAAGAUAAGGCUGAAAAGUGAAUCUCCCGCCAGAACCGAUGCUGAUGUUGGAGAAAAUGUUGUCUAUACACGAGCUUGAUAUGUUAGUCACACGUGACGGCUCAGAGAAAACCACAUCCAGGUUAAACAUUUUGAGGACCUCGAUGGUUUUUUGUCGAUCUUUCGAGUUCUUCCCGAAGUCGAUGUUGAAAUCUCCCGAAACAAACAAUCGAUCAGUCGGAUAUAAGGCCUGACAUAAUUCGAGUACUUUUGUCAAAACAUCAAGGCACUGUGACACGUCACCAGAUGGCGGCCUGUACAGUGAGAGUAUCAAUAUUUUGUAUUUCGUCAGUCGGACGC